ensembl:lncRNA
CCAUAUUAGCGGGUUUUUGUUUGGCACAUUGUCACUAAGCAGUGGCUAGCUAACUAACGCUACAUAAACAUGUGUCUUAACGACAACGUGCCUAAAUAGUUGGCUUCCAAUUAAAAUAUGGAAACAUUGGCAGUAUCCAAUAUUACUUUAAAGGGGGAAACGCUUAAUUGGCGCAGGAGUUAAUUUUGAAUGUGAUAUUCAAUUUCAUACAUGGCGUAUUGGGGUUUUGCUAGCUUGACCACGUUGGCGAACUAGGUUUCAUGGCGCACAUGUGGAGGAAGAAGCGUAUGCGCAGGCUGAAGCGUAAAAGGCGAAAGAUGAGGCAGAGGUCCAAGUAGACUGGCCCAUUCCCCUACUGCUGUGAUUGUUUUUCUCCACCCACUCCAAGCCCUCUGAAGCCAGCGGUCCAUGAUUUGAAGAGCUGAACCAUGGUGGUCUGAAGCUGGCCUCGUUGGUGUGAAGGACAGAUUCUGCCUACCCAGCCCUCUACUCUGCCAAUGGCUCCUGGCCGUUGACUUCUGCUAGAAUCUCUCCUGUCAUUAAACUCUGGCCUUUUACCACCUGCACAGCUGUUGUAAAGACCAUAAUAAAUAUUUGGUUUACUAACUACAUUACAGUCUCUGUA